GAUGAACGCUAGCGGCGGACUUAACACAUGCAAGUCGAGGGGCAACAUAAAUAAAUUUAUUUAUUUGAUGGCGACCGGCGAACGGGUGAGUAACACGUACGUAAUCUACCUUUUGCAAGAAAAUAGCCUAAGGAAACUUAGAUUAAUGUUCUAUAAUAUAAUAAUGUUGCAUAACAUAAUUAUUAAAGCUUAGUUUAUUAAUUUUGCUGCAAAAGAUGAGCGUGCGUCUGAUUAGUUAGUUGGUAAGGUAAUGGCUUACCAAGACAAUGAUCAGUAGGGGGCCUGAGAGGGUGAUCCCCCACACUGGUACUGAGACACGGACCAGACUCCUACGGGAGGCAGCAGUGAGGAAUAUUGGUCAAUGGAGGCAACUCUGAACCAGUCACGCCGCGUGCAGGAUGAAUGCCAUAUAGGUUGUAAACUGCUUUUACACAGGAAUAAAACUUUCUAUGUAUAGAAAAUUGAAGGUACUGUGAGAAUAAGUAUCGGCUAACUCUGUGCCAGCAGCCGCGGUAAUACGGAGGAUACAAGCGUUAUCCGGAUUUAUUGGGUUUAAAGGGUGCGUAGGCGGUUUAUUAAGUCAGUAGUGAAAUCUUACAGCUUAACUGUUAAAAUGGCUAUUGAUACUAUUAAACUAGAGUUAUAAUGGAGUAACUGGAAUGUGUGGUGUAGCGGUGAAAUGCUUAGAUAUCACACAGAACACCAAUCGCGAAGGCAGGUUACUAAUUAUAUACUGACGCUGAGGUACGAAAGCGUGGGGAGCAAACAGGAUUAGAUAUCCUGGUAGUCCACGCCGUAAACGAUGAUCACUAGCUAUUGGAUAAUAUAUUUUCAGUUGCUAAGCGAAAGUGAUAAGUGAUCCACCUGGGGAGUACGAUCGCAAGAUUGAAACUCAAAGGNAAUUGACGGGGGCCCGCACAAGCGGUGGAGCAUGUGGUUUAAUUCGAUGAUACGCGAGGAACCUUACCAAGAUUUAAAUGUACUACGAAUAAAUUGGAAAACAAUUUAGUUCUUCGGACGGAGUACAAGGUGCUGCAUGGUUGUCGUCAGCUCGUGCCGUGAGGUGUUAGGUUAAGUCCUUAAACGAGCGCAACCCUUGUUGUUAAUUGCCAUCGAGUAAUGUCGGGGACUUUAACAAGACUGCCGACGAAAGUCGUGAGGAAGGUGAGGAUGACGUCAAAUCAUCACGGCCCUUAUAUCUUGGGCUACACACGUGCUACAAUGGUCGGUACAAAGGGCAACCACUAGGUAACUAGGAGUAAAUCUCGAAAACCGAUCUAAGUUCGGAUUGGAGUCUGCAACUCGACUCUAUGAAGCUGGAAUCGCUAGUAAUCGCGCAUCAGCAAUGGCGCGGUGAAUACGUUCCCGGGCCUUGUACACACCGCCCGUCAAGCCAUGGAAGUUGAUAAUACUUAAAAUCGGUAACCGUAAAAGGAACUGCUUAGGGUAAGAUCAAUGACUGGGGCU
rnacentral:rRNA from 1 species